rnacentral:rRNA from 1 species
UACGGAGGAUGCGAGCGUUAUCCGGAUUUAUUGGGUUUAAAGGGUGCGUAGGCGGAUAGAUAAGUCAGUGGUGAAAUUCUGCAGCUUAACUGUAGACUUGCCGUUGAUACUGUCAGUCUUGAGUAUGGUCAAGGCAGGCGGAAUGUGUAAUGUAGCGGUGAAAUGCUUAGAUAUUACACAGAACACCGAUUGCGAAGGCAGCUUGCUGGGCCAUUACUGACGCUGAUGCACGAAAGCGUGGGGAUCGAACAGGAUUAGAAACCCUAGUAGUCC